rnacentral:rRNA from 1 species
GGCGCCGAUGGAGAACUUCGCGGCCUAUCAGCUAGUUGGUGAGGUCACGGCUCACCAAGGCGACGACGGGUAGCUGGUCCGAGAGGAUGACCAGCCACAUUGGGACUGAGACACGGCCCAGACUCCUACGGGAGGCAGCAGUGGGGAAUAUUGCGCAAUGGGCGAAAGCCUGACGCAGCGACGCCGCGUGUGGGAUGACGGCCUUCGGGUUGUAAACCACUGUCGCGAGGGACGAAGAUCUGACGGUACCUCGAAAGGAAGCACCGGCUAACUCUGUGCCAGCAGCCGCGGUAAUACAGAGGGUGCGAGCGUUGUCCGGAAUCACUGGGCGUAAAGGGCGCGUAGGCGGCCUGGUUAGUAGGGGGUGAAAUCUCGCGGCUCAACUGCGAGGCUGCCUCCUAAACUGCCGGGCUCGAGCACAGUAGAGGCAGGUGGAAUUCCCGGUGUAGCGGUGGAAUGCGUAGAGAUCGGGAAGAACAUCGGUGGCGAAGGCGGCCUGCUGGGCUGUUACUGACGCUGAGGCGCGACAGCGUGGGGAGCAAACAGGAUUAGAU